rnacentral:tRNA from 83 species
UGCCGGCUCAGCCGGCUGGGCUUGCGCCUGCGGCGUUUCGACCGGCGUCAGUUCCGCUUGCACGGGCUGGACCGCUUGCGGGGCGGUGUCGGCGGC